rnacentral:rRNA from 1 species
GUUGAACGCUUGAAUUUCACCGAAGCUUGCUUCACCGAAAUUCAAGAGUAGCGAACGGGUGAGUAACGCGUGGAUAACCUGCCUUAUAGCGGGGGAUAACUAUUGGAAACGAUAGCUAAUACCGCAUAACAAUGACUGACACAUGUUAGUUAUUUGAAAGUACCAAUUGGUACACUAUGAGAUGGAUCCGCGUUGUAUUAGCUAGUUGGUAGUGUAACGGACUACCAAGGCGAUGAUACAUAGCCGACCUGAGAGGGUGAUCGGCCACACUGGGACUGAGACACGGCCCAGACUCCUACGGGAGGCAGCAGUAGGGAAUCUUCGGCAAUGGACGAAAGUCUGACCGAGCAACGCCGCGUGAGUGAAGAAGGUUUUCGGAUCGUAAAACUCUGUUGUUAGAGAAGAACGUUGAUUAGAGUGGAAAAUUAAUCAAGUGACGGUAUCUAACCAGAAAGGGACGGCUAACUACGUGCCAGCAGCCGCGGUAAUACGUAGGUCCCGAGCGUUGUCCGGAUUUAUUGGGCGUAAAGCGAGCGCAGGUGGUUUCUUAAGUCAGAUGUAAAAGGCAGUUGCUCAACGAUUGUAUGCAUUUGAAACUGGGAGACUUGAGUGCAGUAGAGGAGAGUGGAAUUCCAUGUGUAGCGGUGAAAUGCGUAGAUAUAUGGAGGAACACCGG